rnacentral:rRNA from 1 species
GAGCUUUAUGAGAAGGGCAUUUGGUGGAUGCUUGGCACUGAGAGGCGAUGAAGGACGUGGCACGCUGCGAUAAGUCCAGGUUAGGGGCGAGCACCCGUUGACCCUGGAAUUUCCGAAUGGGGAAACCCACGGCUUCGGCCGUAUCCUUAAGUGAAUCCAUAGCUUAAGGAGGCGAACCCGGCGAACUGAAACAUCUAAGUAGCCGGAGGAAAGGACAUCAACCGAGACUCCGCUAGUAGUGGCGAGCGAACGCGGACCAGGCCAGUGGCUUGGGUAGGAAAACCGGAACCGUCUGGAAAGUUGGGCCGUAGUGGGUGAUAGCCCCGUACGGGUAAAGUUCCAUAUAAGUCCUUGAGUAGGGCGGGGCACGUGAAACCCUGUCUGAACGUGGGGGGACCACCCUCCAAGCCUAAGUACUCCUCGACGACCGAUAGUGAACAAGUACCGUGAGGGAAAGGUGAAAAGCACCCCGAUGAGGG